UACGGGGGGUGCGAGCGUUGUCCGGAAUCACUGGGCGUAAAGGGCGCGUAGGUGGCUUUGUAAGUUUGCGGUGAAAGCCCGGGGCUCAACCCCGGGUCUGCCGUGGAUACUGCAAGGCUUGAGUACUGUAGAGGCAGGUAGAAUAUCGGGUGUAGCGGUGGAAUGCGUAGAGAUCCGAUAGAAGACCGGUGGCGAAGGCGGCCUGCUGGGCAGUAACUGACACUGAGGCGCGAAAGCGUGGGGAGCAAACAGG
rnacentral:rRNA from 1 species